rnacentral:sRNA from 1 species
UGCGCCUGCGGAGGACCAGGCACAGACCAUGUUCGUGCUUCGCAGGCAGUCGGUCUGUGUACGGUCCGGUACAUUCCCAACGGGAAUUUAAUGAUUC